GACGAACGCUGGCGGCGUGCUUAACACAUGCAAGUCGAACGGAAAGGCCCUGCGUUUGCGGGGUGCUCGAGUGGCGAACGGGGGAGUAACACGUGAGUAUCCUGCCCUUGACUUUGGGAUAACUCCAGGAAACUGGGGCUCAUACCGGAUAGGAGCUCCUGCUGCAUGGUGGGGGUUGGAAAGAUUCGGCGGUUGGGGAUGGACUCGCGGCUUAUCAGCUUGUUGGUGUGGUAGUGGCUUACCAAGGCUGUGACGGGUAGCCGGCCUGAGAGCGUGACCGGCCACAAUGGGACUGAGAUACGGACCAGACUCGAACGGGAGGCAGCGGUGGGGAGUAUGGCAGAAUGGGCGGACGCCUGAUGUAGCAACGCCGCGUGCGGGAUGACGUCCUACGGGUUGUAAACCGCUUUCUCCUGUGACGAAGCGUGAGUGACGGUAAUGGGUAAGGAAGCACCGGCUAACUACGUG
rnacentral:rRNA from 1 species